AUUUUGCAGGAUCGCCGUCGGUCAGCGCGUUGCGCCCACCGGCGCGGUCCGC
rnacentral:sRNA from 1 species